AGAGUUGGCUAGGCAAUCGCUGUAGGUGCUCCUUAAUGGAGUAGGUUGCAGAGGAAAGUCCGGGCUCCAUAGAGCAAAGUGCCAGGUAACGCCUGGGAGGCGCGAGUCUACGGAAAGUGCAACAGAAAAUAAACCGCCCAUUUAUUUUAGAAUAAAUGGGUAAGGGUGAAACGGGGCGGUAAGAGCGCACCGCGUGGAUGGCAACAUCUCACGGCACGGCAAACCCCACUUGGAGCAAGACCAAAUAGGAACCCCUUCUUAUUAUGAAAGUAAUAAGGAAUAUGUUGCUCACAUAGGGUUCGGGUAGGUUGCUUGAGGUAUGUGGUGACACAUAUCCCAGAUGAAUGGUUGUCCGCGACAGAACCCGGCUUAUCGGCUAACUCUCAAC
rnacentral:RNase_P_RNA from 2 species